UAUCUGUGUGGUGGGACUGUGGCUGGCUUUUAACAUGUUGCUGAUUCCAUUAGUCUCUGCAAUGUCGAAUGACUGAGAACUAACAGGCUGCAAAGCCAUUACAAAACAAAACAUCUGAUAAAUAGCCGUGUUACAAGCUAGACAGUAUCAUAACAAAUCCAAUGCCUGUAUCAUGAUUUAGUGCACAAUGUUUUGAUGGAUUAGAAGCUCU